rnacentral:tRNA from 1 species
GGGAGCUUAGCUCAGUUGGUAGAGCGCUACCCUUACAAGGUAGAUGCCACUGGUUCGAGUCCAGUAGUUCCCACCA